rnacentral:rRNA from 1 species
CGCGGUAUCCUGACCGUGCGAAGGUAGCGUAAUCAUUUGUCUUUUAAAUAGAGACCUGUAUGAAUGGCAUAACGAGGGUUUAACUGUCUCCUUCCCCUAGUCAAUGAAAUUGAUCUGCCCGUGCAGAAGCGGACAUAAAUACAUAAGACGAGAAGACCCUAUGGAGCUUUAGACAAAAGAUCAAACAUGUAAAGAAACCAAGUUAACCAAAAGGAACACAAAGGCCACGAAACCCGACGUAAACUGAUCCAAAUGUCUUCGGUUGGGGCGACCAUGGGGGAGAAAAAAGCCCCCACGAGGAACAGGGACUAAUCCCUAAGCCAAGAGAGACAUCUCUAAGCAACAGAAAAUCUGACCAAAAGUGACCCAGAAUACUAAUUCUGAUCAACGAACCAAGUUACCCUAGGGAUAACAGCGCAAUCCUUUCCCAGAGUCCAUAUCGACGAAAGGGUUUACGACCUCGAUGUUGGAUCAGGACAUCCUAAUGGUGCAGCCGCUA